AGUCAAUCAGAAAUCUUCAACAUUUAGAAGUGAUUAACUUUGGUGACUGUCUGGUGAAGUCAGAAGGGGCAGAAGCAUUGGCAGAAAGUUUGAAGAAUGGCCUUCCAGCUCUCAAGGAACUAAAUUUAUCAUUUGGUGAGAUCAAUAGUUCGGCUGCCAUCAAAAUUGCUGAAAGUUUGGAUGGAAAAACAGCGUUG
rnacentral:lncRNA from 1 species